rnacentral:rRNA from 1 species
UACGUAGGGGGCAAGCGUUGUCCGGAUUUAUUGGGCGUAAAGAGCGUGUAGGCGGCCAGAUAGGUCCGUUGUGAAAACUCGAGGCUCAACCUCGAGACGCCGAUGGAAACCAUUUGGCUAGAGUCCGGAAGAGGAGAGUGGAAUUCCUGGUGUAGCGGUGAAAUGCGCAGAUAUCAGGAGGAACACCAGCGGCGAAGGCGGCGCUCUGGGCUGGAACUGACGCUGAGGAGCGAAAGCGUGGGGAGCAAACAGGAUUAGAACGUACCGUAGUCAGUCCAAGACCAGU